ensembl:lncRNA
GGUCAUUAGCGACCCUCGCACAGCACCCCCAGCUCCUGAGUCACUGAGAUCCUGAUUUCUCAAAUGAGGUGCAGCAUUUGCUGUCUACCACCCCUGGUGACCAAGUUCAGGUGGGGACCAUACCUGUUCCUGAAAGCACAAAACAGAUUUGAUGAACAAGAAUUUCAAGAAACACCCCCUACUUUCCAAUUUCCUAUAUUUUCAGCCGGGGGCAAAAAAUCAAGGUUUAGCUCAGGAGAAGGAGCAGGAAGUGGGUUUGGCUGACUGUUGAAACCUGCUGGAAACCUGGUUUUUGUUGGAAAGGGCUGUGGGUCUUGGGAGAUGUUUGGGAUACAGUUCCCAGCUGGGACAGGUGACUGGACCCUUAAGAGCUGAGCACUUACAAGCACCUAUCAUGUGCUAGGCACUGGGGAUGCAAUAUGCCUUAGACCUGGCCCCUCUUCAGAAGACCGAAUAAUAGUCUAUCAAGGGAAAAAGGCACAUGAACAGUUUUAGCAGUACAUGGUAAGUACCAUGAAGCAUGUGGACACAGGACGCUGUAGAGGAGAAUGUAGCCCACCUGAGGGUUCAGGGCAGCCUUGCUGGAUCCGGGACCUCUAAACUGAGCUUGCCAGAUGAAGAAAGGUGUAAGGGCAAUUCCAGGCAAUCAGUCUGCAGAUUAUUGAAUGCCUACUGUAUGCCAGGUGCUGAAAAGCACACAAAAGUGUGGGAAACCUAAAACAAGAGAAUGUGGUGUCAUGUCUAAAACUGUGAGCAGUUUCAUCCCUCUAGGUAAUUGCCUUCUGGAAAGUGACAGAAGAUGAAACUGGAGAGUGUGGACCUCUCUUCUCACACAGCCCUUUCUGCUUUUCUUCCUCACCAGAACCUCAGAUAAUGGCAGCCCAGGUGGUAAGUUACCCCACUUUCCUAACGAGAAGCCAACAGUGAGCCUAAGAGUCAGAGCCUGAGAUCCCUGGGGACCAGAACCCGGGGCCUCCUCUUGCAGGCCUCCCCCCACCCCUCUAGAGCCUCUGUGAUUAGAUUCCUGUCCUGAGAUGGGUGUUUGUCCCCAUGAGCGUCCCUGGAGAGAGGGCUCUUUAUAUGCUGCAUGUUUAGUGGCCAUCAGAGGCCGACCAGAACAUUCACACACUCACUCACCCACACCCCACAGCUAGGUCACCAGCGAGG